rnacentral:rRNA from 1 species
GGAGGCUUUGAAGUGUGGACGCCAGUCUGCAUGGAGCCGACCUUGAAAUACCACCCUUUAAUGUUUGAUGUUCUAACGUGGACCCGUUACCCGGGUUGCGGACAGUGUCUGGUGGGUAGUUUGACUGGGGCGGUCUCCUCCUAAAGAGUAACGGAGGAGCACGAAGGUUGGCUAAUCCUGGUCGGACAUCAGGAGGUUAGUGCAAUGGCAUAAGCCAGCUUGACUGCGAGCGUGACGGCGCGAGCAGGUGCGAAAGCAGGUCAUAGUGAUCCGGUGGUUCUGAAUGGAAGGGCCAUCGCUCAACGGAUAAAAGGUACUCCGGGGAUAACAGGCUGAUACCGCCCAAGAGUUCAUAUCGACGGCGGUGUUUGGCACCUCGAUGUCGGCUCAUCACAUCCUGGGGCUGAAGUAGGUCCCAAGGGUAUGGCUGUUCGCCAUUUAAAGUGGUACGCGAGCUGGGUUUAGAACGUCGUGAGACAGUUCGGUCCCUAUCUGCCGUGGGCGCUGGAGAACUGAGGGGGGCUGCUCCUAGUACGAGAGGACCGGAGUGGACGCAUCACUGGUGUUCGGGUUGUCAUGCCAAUGGCACUGCCCGGUAGCUAAAUGCGGAAGAGAUAAGUGCUGAAAGCAUCUAAGCACGAAACUUGCCCCGA